rnacentral:rRNA from 1 species
UCGAGAAUCAUUCACAAUGGGCGAAAGCCUGAUGGUGUGACGCCGCGUGGAGGAUGACGGUCCUAGGAUUGUAAACUCCUGUCAUCAGGGAGUAAAGCUCUGGCGUUAAUAGCGUCAUGAGCCUGAUAGUACCUGAAGAGGAAGGGGCGGCUAACUCCGUGCCAGCAGCCGCGGUAACACGGAGGCCCCGAGCGUUGUUCGGAUUUACUGGGCGUAAAGAGUACGUAGGCGGCGAGGUAAGUCAGAUGUGAAAGCCCGGGGCUCAACCUCGGAACUGCAUCCGAUACUGCCUUGCUUGAGGGUUGGAGAGGAGACUGGAAUUUGUGGUGUAGCAGUGAAAUGCAUGGAUAUCACAAGGAAGACCAAAGGCGAAGGCAGGUCUCUGGACAACUCCUGACGCUGAGGUACGAAGGCUGGGGUAGCGAAAAGGAUUAGAUACCCCGGUAGUCC